GAUGAACGCUGGCGGCGUGCUUAACACAUGCAAGUCGAACGGGAAACCUUUUAUUGAAGCUUCGGCAGAUUUAGCUGGUUUCUAGUGGCGGACGGGUGAGUAACGCGUGGGUAACCUGCCUUAUACAGGGGGAUAACAGUCAGAAAUGGCUGCUAAUACCGCAUAAGCGCACAGAGCUGCAUGGCCCAGUGUGAAAAACUCCGGUGGUAUAAGAUGGACCCGCGUUGGAUUAGCUGGUUGGUGGGGUAACGGCCCACCAAGGCGACGAUCCAUAGCCGGCAUGAGAGGGUGAACGGCCACAUUGGGACUGAGACACGGCCCAGACUCCUACGGGAGGCAGCAGUGGGGAAUAUUGCACAAUGGGGGAAACCCUGAUGCAGCGACGCCGCGUGAAGGAAGAAGUAUCUCGGUAUGUAAACUUCUAUCAGCAGGGAAGAUAAUGACGGUACCUGACUAAGAAGCCCCGGCUAACUACGUG
rnacentral:rRNA from 1 species